GGGUCUACCCAUUGGUCAGGCUUAAUUGUCUGCACUGGUGAGAUGGAUCUCUACCUUCUGAGGAACUUGAUGGUCCUUUAUUGGGUGUCUUGCGGAUCCAGGACCUUUACCUUGAAAAAAUUAGAGUGUUUAAAGCAGGCAUUUUUGCUCGAAUACAUUAGCAUGGAAUAAUAGAAUAGGACGGCAUGGUUCUAUUUUGUUGGUUUCUAGGAUCACCGUA
rnacentral:rRNA from 1 species